UCAUCUUCCAUAACUUUAAUAUAUGCAUAUUGACAUUUGGACUAACCAUUUUGUUCAUAAUAUAUCAUUUAAGGUUGUUCAAAGUGAAGAUGAGAGUGAGCAUGAAGAGGGAAAAAAUAAAGUCAUCAUUAGCAUGCAUGCCACACCCAAGAUAGGAGAACAUAAAAAGAAGGAUGAUUCAAGAAGAGCUUAAAAAGAAUGAAGACAUUCAUAUAAGCUUGGAUACAUCUUGGAAGCCUUGUGUAACAUUAGAAACUUUUAACUCUAAUUUGUUAACCUAAUUAAGGUAGUUAGUGAGUGAAUGAGGUAUGUGGCCAGAGGGGCUUAACUUAGCAUAAUUGAUGUGAUUUUAGCCCUAGAAGUGGGUCCAGAUCAAUGGCGGGCCACUGGGCAAGGAAAGAGAAUGAAAAAGUGAAAGUUGUGUUCUGUGCCACCCGCCGCGGUGCGUGGUUGGUCCGUUGCGGCACACGGACACAAUUUGAAUGUAAUGGGCUCCUUUGUGCCAUACGCUGCAGCAAAGGGCAACGUGUGCCAUGGCGCACAGCUAAAAAUAUGAUAAAUUUGAUUCAUGAGCUGCGUGAAAAUAGAAGAGGAAGAGAGGAGGAAAUGAAGAGCUUAGUUGUGGCUCUGCUAAGGCAUGACAUUUGGCUCCGCUAGGGCACAACAUUUGGCUCCAUUGAGGAUAGAUUGAAACUCCCUAACACUUAAGAGAAGUUCAUCUUGGCACCUUUCAAGCUUGUUGAAGCUUGAGGAAGUUGCUAUAAUGAGGGGUAAACCUUUAACUUCUCAAAGAUUUGAGAGACUAGCUCAUUGGAUCCAAGUCGGGGAAAACACACAGAGACUUAGGAUUUGUGGAGUAAAUCCUCUUUAUGUCUCUCUUUAGUUGUUUACAUGUGUAAUUGUCAAUGUAAUUGCCAACUAGGAUAAAUUGUCAUGAUUGGUUUACUACUUGUAUGAUUUUGUGCCCUAGGAUAGUGAGUUUUUGUUGUAAACUUGUGGAUAGGGCCAAAAUACCUGAGCAAGUAGGAACAUAUGUAUUUUUGAGAAAUAUGAAUAAAAUGGU